rnacentral:rRNA from 1 species
AGUUGGUGGAGUGAUUUGUCUGGUUAAUUCCGUUAACGAACGAGACCUCAGCCUAUUGGUUGUUUAGGCCGUUUUUUUUAAACGGUUCUAAGGAUUGAGAGGGACGAUCGGUGUUUAGCCGAUGGAAGUUUGAGGCAAUAACAGGU